AGAACGAACGCUGGCGGCAGGCUUAACACAUGCAAGUCGAGCGCCCCGCAAGGGGAGCGGCAGACGGGUGAGUAACGCGUGGGAACAUACCCUCCGGUUCGGAAUAGCUCAGGGAAACUUGGAUUAAUACCGGAUACGGCCUAGCGGCGAAAGAUUGAUCGCCGGAGGAUUGGCCCGCGUCUGAUUAGCUAGUUGGUGGGGUAAUGGCCCACCAAGGCGACGAUCAGUAGCUGGUCUGAGAGGAUGAUCAGCCACAUUGGGACUGAGACACGGCCCAAACUCCUACGGGAGGCAGCAGUGGGGAAUAUUGGACAAUGGGCGCAAGCCUGAUCCAGCCAUGACCGCGUGAGUGAUGACGGCCUUAGGGUUGUAAAGCUCUUUCGCUAGGGACGAUAAUGACGGUACCUAGACAAGAAGCCCCGGCUAACUUCGCGCCAGCAGCCGC
rnacentral:rRNA from 1 species